UACGUAGGGGGGCAAGCGUUUGUCCGGAAUUAUUGGGCGUAAAGAGCUCGUAGGCGGUCUGUCGCGUCUGCUGUGAAAACCCGGGGCUUAACCCUGGGCUUGCAGUGGAUACGGGGCAGACUAGAGGCAGGUAGGGGAGAAUGGAAUUCCCGGUGUAGCGGUGAAAUGCGCAGAUAUCGGGAGGAACACCGGUGGCGAAGGCGGUUCUCUGGGCCUGACCUGACGCUGAGGAGCGAAAGCGUGGGGAGCGAACAGG
rnacentral:rRNA from 1 species